UUUUUUCAUGUUUUGAAAUUUUUGCAAAUAAACUCCUUUGAGUUCCUUGAAAAUUUUCUUUUUUUCUUUUUUUCUUCCCCUUUUUUUUUAUUUCUUUUUUUUGAUUUUUUUCAUUGCGUUUCCUUUGAAAAAUAAAUAUGCUAUGAUGCACAUGAUGCAGACUGGACUGGCUGGUUAUGCAAACUCUGACUAGGUCGAAGCUUCAUUCAAGAUCAGAACAUAAAUCCAACUUAUGGUCAAACUGAUCACACUGUUGUCUGAACUAGAGUCACCAACAGAACCAAAGUCACCAACGGUACCUGUAAUGAAUAACCCUUCCCACUCACGGGCGUAGUCUAGGCCAGGGUAAAGCUGAGAGAAACGCAGCAUAAAUAACCUUUCGCAGAAAUACUAUCAUAUACACACCCGAAGUAUGUAACGACAGUAUCCCACCAGGGUCUGAACUGCUCGUGAUAUCAAUGUUCCGCUAAGUGGCGCCAUACCACCCGCUUCCCAUGAAUCACUCUAUUCCUAAUCAUCCUAGAUUUUCACUCAUGGUCUGGGUAUUGGACCUUUUACCUCAACUGAC
rnacentral:lncRNA from 1 species